rnacentral:rRNA from 1 species
GAUGAACGCUGGCGGCGUGCCUAAUACAUGCAAGUCGAGCGAACGGACGAGAAGCUUGCUUCUCUGACGUUAGCGGCGGACGGGUGAGUAACACGUGGAUAACCUACCUAUAAGACUGGGAUAACUUCGGGAAACCGGAGCUAAUACCGGAUAAUAUUUUGAACCGCAUGGUUCAAAAGUGAAAGACGGUCUUGCUGUCACUUAUAGAUGGAUCCGCGCUGCUUUAGCUAGUUGGUAAGGUAACGGCUUACCAAGGCAACGAUGCAUAGCCGACCUGAGAGGGUGAUCGGCCACACUGGAACUGAGACACGGUCCAGACUCCUACGGGAGGCAGCAGUAGGGAAUCUUCCGCAAUGGGCGAAAGCCUGACGGAGCAACGCCGCGUGAGUGAUGAAGGUCUUCGGAUCGUAAAACUCUGUUAUUAGGGAAGAACAUAUGUGUAAGUAACUGUGCACAUCUUGACGGUACCUAAUCAGAAAGCCACGGCUAACUACGUG